CUUCCCCGCCCGGGCACGUAACAGAGCUGGGAGCCUGGCUGCCAGGGGCGUGUUAUCGCGGGGGCAGCCUGGGAGCGCUGCUGCGCCGCGGCAGGAGAAACAGCCGAGGACACCCUGGAAGAGCAGGAGCACGUGGGCCUGCGAGAAUGGCGCCAACACCAGCCCUGCAAAGCCACAUUCCAAAGCCGGGCCAAGGACAGCCACCGUUGCCCCGCAGGCCUCAAGGAUGACGGUCAAGCCAGCCAAGGCCGCCUCCCUAGCCAGGAACCUCGCAAAGCGCAGGCGCACCUACCUGGGUGGCGCGGCUGGGCGGAGUCAAGAGCCGGAAGUCCCUUGUGCCGCAGUCCUUCCCGGGAAACCUGGGGACCGGAACUGCCCGGAGUUCCCGCCCCCAGACAGAACCCUGGGUUGCUGGGCAACCGAUGCGGCCCCCGCAGCUGGUCUCUGUGGUGCUGGGAGCGAGCCCAGUAUAGCUCCCACCUCCUGCGCUGGUAACCUCCCGUCCCGCCCGCCUCCCUUGUUGUCGCCUCUCCUCGCGUCGCGGAAUCCUUGCCCUUGGCACUACUUACAUCUCUCCGGGUCCCACAACACCUUAGCGCCCACCUGCUUCAAAGCCAAGCUCCACCGAAAGCGAGGCAGUCAGCCCCCGGACAUGGCCUCAGCGCUGACUGAUCGCACCUCUCGGGCCCCGAGCACCUACACCUACACCAGCCGGCCCCGAGCACUGCCCUGCCAGCGCAGCCGUUACCGGGACAGCCUGACGCAGCCAGAUGAAGAACCUAUGCAUUAUGGAAACAUAAUGUAUGACAGAAGGGUAAUUCGAGGUAACACUUAUGCACUCCAGACAGGGCCACUGCUCGGACGGCCUGAUUCUCUAGAGCUCCAGAGACAACGGGAGGCUAGGAAGAGGGCUCUUGCCAGAAAACAAGCCCAAGAGCAGCUCAGACCACAAACACCUGAACCUGUGGAAGGCAGAAAGCAUGUCGAUGUGCAAACAGAAUUAUACCUUGAAGAAAUUGCUGAUCGCAUAAUAGAAGUUGAUAUGGAAUGCCAAACAGAUGCAUUUUUGGACAGACCACCAACACCACUCUUUAUUCCUGCCAAAACUGGCAAAGAUGUGGCCACCCAAAUACUAGAAGGAGAGCUCUUUGACUUUGAUCUUGAAGUUAAACCAGUGUUAGAAGUUUUGGUGGGGAAGACAAUUGAGCAGUCUCUUCUGGAAGUAAUGGAAGAAGAAGAGCUGGCUAACCUGCGGGCCAGUCAGCGUGAGUAUGAAGAACUACGGAAUAGUGAACGUGCUGAAGUUCAACGACUUGAAGAGCAAGAGAGGCGACACCGAGAAGAAAAAGAACGGCGUAAGAAACAGCAGUGGGAAAUAAUGCACAAGCACAACGAGACAUCACAAAAAAUCGCCGCCCGAGCAUUUGCACAGCGUUACCUGGCUGACCUUCUCCCGUCUGUUUUUGGCAGCCUCAGGGAUAGUGGCUACUUUUAUGAUCCCAUUGAAAGAGAUAUUGAGAUAGGAUUUCUUCCAUGGCUAAUGAAUGAAGUUGAAAAAACCAUGGAAUAUAGCAUGGUGGGAAGAACAGUGCUUGACAUGUUGAUCCGUGAGGUGGUUGAAAAGAGGCUGUGUAUGUAUGAGCAUGGGGAAGACACACAUCAGUCUCCAGAACCCGAGGAUGAGCCUGGUGGUCCUGGAGCAAUGACAGAGUCACUGGAGGCCUCUGAAUUCCUGGAGCAGAGCAUGUCACAGACACGGGAGCUGCUUUUAGAUGGAGGCUACCUACAAAGAACAACAUAUGACAGAAGGUCAUCCCAGGAAAGGAAGUUUAUGGAAGAGAGAGAACUCUUAGGGCAAGAUGAAGAAACAGCAAUGAGGAAGUCCUUAGGGGAGGAAGAAUUGUCAUAGGAGGGAAGCUUCAAAGUCAUGAAACCAAUCAACAGCCAAGUCAGCAAGCAAUCAGAUUAUAACCACUAGGUGUCAGUGAAACCCUAAGGUAAGGUUGACUUGCUGCCAACUUCAUACAUAAUUUCGUGACCAUAAAAGACCUUGGUGAGCACAGUUCAAAAAUAUAUUGUAUUCCUUGGAAUCUUCUAGACUCUCAAUGAAUAUUUUAUCUCGCCCUAAAGUUCUCUGCCAGCUCUGUAGGGGUGCCAGACUCUUAAAAUGUUCAUUUUAGAGUGGACUUUAGUUGUCACAUACUUCACUAUCUAAUUCAGGAUCCUUAACAGAUGGUCAGUUAGUCUUUGUUUCAUCACUUUAAGGAUGAGGUUUUCACUUUAUGAGCUGCUGUAGAUAGCAAUUCUGUCUUACUUGGUUUUGUCUCCACAGGCCUGGGCUAUGGUAGAUGCUUAGCCAAUAACAUUGUUGGACAGUUCUCAUUAUUAGAAAUUUCUCUAUACUGAUUCAAAACCUGCCUGUUAUAACCUUUGCUUAUUGGUCAUAAUCAUGAGGGCAUGAUUAUGGUAGAGGGAGACAAAAUGAUUUUAUUGCCAUAUCAGCCCUAUCAUGUACCCCAAUAAAUUUUUCUUUAUCCCCCCCAAGUUUUUUUUCUCCCAAUGAGAUUCACCACUCUUCCCAAUUAUUCCUCAUAUGGCACAGUUUUGGAACUUCCCCACUCACCAUCCUGGUUACUAUUACUUUUAAAUGGCUAUUUGGUCAAAGUUUCUGUUAAAACAUGUUUCCCAGAAUUAGGUAGACAACUAUAGGUGUAAUCUGACUCGGCAAUCACCCAUCACCAAAUCACUUUCUCUAAACUCAAAUGCCUAGAAAUCAUAUCUUCCAGGACAUCGGAGAGAAAAAGCCAAAAUGAGUUUUGAGCAGCUGCAAUGUCACGAAGUCAACAGACUUUGCAGUGGACCCUCCAAGCCUAUCUUAACAUGUUGCUAACCAACUAGGCUAUUUCAUUAUUGACCCUACAAUAUGUUAGAUGUAACAUUAACCAGGGAAGAGGGACUGCUGUGGGAAAACUCAUAGCACUAACAUAAGAGAAAUGGCAGGAAAAAAUAGGCAACUCAAAAAGUAUAGCAGUCUGGAGCAAAAAUUGAGUAUUCUUCAGCAUGUCCUGACUACAUGUUUAUAUUAAAGUACAAUACAGAAAUUAAUGUGUAUGGACAAAGCACCUCUGGAAUGGUGGAAUAAGGAUCUCUGAAAAUCUGUUCCUCCAUAAAAGCAAUGUGAAUGCAGGCCAGAAUUGCCAAAAUCAGUAUUUUCAGAACUCUAGAAAUUAACCAACGGCUUGCAACAAUGACAAACAUUUAUUAAAGAAAAAUGAUUGAAUCUUAGUAAGAACAGUAAGCUUCAUGGCAUUUUAACUUGACCUAUUUCCAUCCCGCUCUUCCCAACUCCACAGUAGCCUUGAAAGUCAGUAACCAAGAAACAGAAGCUUAGGAGCUAUUGAAAGGAGCAGAAAGGCUUGGUGCCUCCCCACCCCCACAAUAAAACCGCAUCUCCAGACAGUUGUCACUACUUGGCAUCUGUGGCAGCUCUCUGGAAAAGCCCAUUUACAGAGGCAUGUCUUUAUUUAACCUGACUCAGAGCUUUCUCAGUGACAAAAGUCCUGACAUCAAGGCAUUAAGAACAAAAAGCAGCAGCAAUUGUUUAACAUCACAGCUGCCUGAGGUAGAGCAAAUAAGAGACUGGCAAAAAAAAAUUGAAAGUCUUGAGAGUGCAGUGGUGAUAAGGGGCUUUAAAAAGCUUUGACAUUUGGCUGGGCACGUUUCUCACGCCUGUAAUCCCAGCACUUUGGCAGGCCAAGGCAGGUGAAUCACGAGGUCAGGAGUUCAAGACCAGCCUGGCCAACAUGAUGAAAUCCCAUCUCUACUAAAAAUAAAAAAUAAAUAAACUGGCAAGGCAUAGUGGCGGGUGCCUGUAAUCCCAGCUACUCAGGAGGCUGAGACAGGAGAAUCACUUGAACCCAGGAGGCGGAGGUUGCAGUGAGCCAAGAUCACGCCACUGCACUCCAGCCCAGGUGACAGAGUGAGACUCCAUCUCAAAAAAUGAAAAAAAAAGAAAAGCUUUGACAUUCUCGGGAAACUACAUAUAGGGUACAUGUGUAGGACUGCAUGCAUGCCCAGAAAAGAGCUAAGAAGGCCUGAAUCACUCACUUCUGACUGACCUUAAGGAUCUGCACAACCAGGAAUUGAAAGCUAAGACAGAGCUAUAAACUGCCAAAAUAGUAAAGGCAUGCCCAACACUUAUAGAGCCACUCAACAAAGGAUGGAAAACUUACUGGUUCAGGGCACUUAAGGAAAUCUCUAAUCAUCAGCUGACUGCUAAGCUAACUAAGCAGAGACUUCAGUGGCCACACACAACAAAGAAUACAAAUUUUACAAAAUUUUUCCAGAGAAGUCAUUAAACAAAGAAUAACAAACAGCAACAGAAAACCCAGGUUGGACGGGUGGUACAAGAAUAUAACUUUCAAAGUUACUACAUUAUAAUUAUUUAAAGUGUUUAAUUUUCAGCAAAAAAAAAGAAAAAAGUACAAGGCAGGCAAAAAAUAGGAACAUAUGGCAGUCAGAAAAAGCAGUCAAUAGAAACUGUUCCCAAGGAAGUCCAGAUUUUUAACUUACUAGACAAAGACUUUAAUUGGCUAUUAUAUAUUCAAAGAACUAAAGAAAACCAUGUCUAAAGAAUUAAAGUAAGUAUGAGAAAGAUGUCUCACCAAAUGUGAAUAUCAGUUAAGAGAGAAAAAACAUUUUUUAAGAACCAAAUAGAAAUUCUGGCAUUGAAAAGUGCAAUAAUUGAAAUGAUAAAUUUUCUUCAGGGCCUUAAUAGCAAAUUUGAUCUGGCAGAAGAAAAUAUCCAUGAAAUUGAAGUUAAGUCCAUUGAGAUAAUCCACUCUGAGGAACAGAAAAAUGAAUGAAGAAAAAUGAGCAAAGCCUCAGAGACCUGUGGGACACCAUCAAGCAUAUCAACGUACACAUCCCCAGAAGGAGAGGAGAGAAGAGAGAAAGGGGCAGAAUAUCUGAAGAGAUCAUGGCUUGAAAACUUACUAAAUUUGAUGAAAAAUGUUGAUCUUCACAUUCAAGACGUUCAGUGAACUCCAUAUAGGAGAAAUUCAAGAGAUCCACAAUUAGACAUAUGCUACUCAAACUGUCAAGAGACAGAGACAAAUAGAAUCUUGAAAGUAGCAAGACAAAAAUUACUUUUCAUGUACAUGGGCUCCUCAAUAACAUUAACAGCUGACUUCUCAUCCCACAUCAUGAAGGCCAAAAGGCAAUGGGAUCAUAUAUUCAAAGUGCUAAAAGAAAAAACUGCCAUUCAAGAAUUCUGUAUCCAGCAAAACUAUCCUUUAAAAUGAGGAGAAAUUAAGACAUUCCCAUAUAAUCAAAAACUGAGAGAACUUGUCAUUAGCACACCUACCCUACAAGAAAUACUAAAGGGAGUCCUUCAUACUGAAAUGAAAGGAUACUAGACAGCAAUUCAAAUCCACAUUAAGAAAUAAGGAGCACCAAUAAAGACUGUAUAUAUGUAUAUAAUUGAUAGUAUAAAUUUACUUUUCUUUGUAAUUCUUCUGUCAUUUAAAAGACAGUUACAUCAUAAAGCAAUCAUUAUAAAACUGUAUUAAUGGGCUUCUAAUGUAUAAAGAUGUAAUUUGUAGGGUGGAUCACAAGGUCAUGAGAUUGAGACCAUCCUGGCCAACAUGGUGAAACCCUGUCUCUACUAAAGUACAAAAAUUAGCUGGGUGUGGUGGCGCACACCUGUAGUCCCAGCUACUCGGGAGGCUAAGGCAGGAGAAUUGCUUGAAUCCAAGAGAUGGAGGUUGCAGUAAGCCGAGAUCACACCACUGCACUCCAGCCUAGUGACAAAGCAAGACUCUGUUUCACAGUAAAUAAAUAAAUAAAUAAUAAUACUACUACAAAGGAAGGAGAAGGAACAGAAUAAUACUAGAGAAAACUUUUUGUAUACUCUUGAAAUUAGAUUACUAUUAAUCUGAAGUAGAUUGUCUUAAAUUAAGAUGUUAAUUGUAAUCCCCAGAGCAGCUACUAAGAAAGUAUCUUUUUACAAAAUAGUAAAAAUAGCCAGGUGUGGUGGCUCACACCUGUAAUCCCAACACUUUGGGAGACUGAGGUGGGCAGAUCACUUGAGGUCAGGAGUUCAAGACCAGCCUGGCCAACAUGGUGAAACCUGAUCUCUAUUAAAAAUACGCAAAAUUAGCCAGGUAUGGUGGUACAUGCCUGUAAUCCCAGCUAUUCAGGAGGCUGAGGCAGGAGAAUUGCUUGAACCCAGAUGGUGGAGGUUGCAGUGAGCUGAAGUCAUGCCACUGCACUCCAGCCUGGGCAACAGAGUGAGACUCCAUCUCAAAAAAAUAAAAAAUAAAAAACAGUAAAAGAAACAAGAGUAUUAAAAGCUUUUCCUGGAAGAUACCCAUUUAAUGCAAAAGAGAGCAAUAAUGGAGGAAUAAAGGUACAAAAAAUACAUAAGACAUGUAAAAAUCCAAAUAGCAAAAUGGUAAAUUAAAAUCCUAGCUUAUCAGUAAUUUAAUCAAAAGUAAAUGGCUUAAACACCCUAACCAGAAGGCAAAGAUUGCCAGAAUGAGGGUUUUUAUUAAAAAUAACCCAACAAUACUAUUAGAGACACACUUUAGAUUCAAAGACACAAAUUGGUUGAAAAUAAAAGGAUGGACAAAGAUAUGGCAUGCAAACAGUAACCAAAAAAGAGCUGGGGUAGCUACAUUAAUCUCAGACAAAAUGGACUUUAAGAUAAAAAUAGUUACAAGAGGUGAAGAAAUGUAUUUUAUGAUAAAAAGGUCAAUCUUCAGAAAGACAACAAUUAUAAACACAUAUGCACCUAACAACAGGGCUCCAAAAUACAUGAAGCAAAAAGUGGUAGAAUUAAAGGGAGUAUUAGACAACUCAAAGCAAUAGAUAUUUCAAAACCCCACUUUCAAUAAUGGAUAGACUAAGGAGAAGAUCAGCAAAGAAAAAAAUGAUGUGAAAUAUAUUAUAAACUAAUUAAUCUUAGACAUUUAUAGAAGUACUUAACAACAGAAUACACAUUCUUCUCAAGUGCACAUGGAACAUUCUCCAGGAUUAUGUUAGACCAAAAAUAAGCCUUAGUAAAUUUUAAAAUAGUGAAAAUUGCACAAUGUAUGUUCUCCAAUCACAAUACAUUUAAGUUAGAAGUCAAUAAUAAAAAGAAGUUUGGGAAAUUCACAAAUGUGUGGAAAUUAAACAAUAUACCCCUAAAUAAUAAAUGGUUCAAAGGAGAAAUCAUAGAAAAAUUAGAAAGUAAUUUGAGGUGAAUAGAAACAGAAAUAGGCCAGAUGCUGUGGCUCGUGCCUGUAAUCCCAACCAAGGUGAGUGGAUUGCCGAGGAGUUCAAGACCAGCCUGGGCAACCUGGCAAAACCCUGUUUCUACAAAAAAAAAUACAAAAAUUAGCCAGGCAUGGUGGUACAUGCAUGUAGUACCAACUACUUGAGAGGCUAAGAUAGGAGAAUCAUCUGAGCCCAGGGAGUUCAAGGCUACAGUGAUGCAUGAUCAUACCACUGCACUCCAGCUUGUCAACAGAGUGAGACCAUGUCUUUAAAAAAAAAAAAAUACAAUAUGCCAAAACUUAUGGAUGCAUCUAAAGCAAUGCUUAGACAGAAAUUUAUAACUCUGAAAGUCUAUAUUUAAAACAGAAGAAACAUCCUAAAUCAAUAACCUAAACUCCCACCUUAAAAAACGAAAAGAAGAGGAAAAUAAAUGCAAAGCCAGUGAAGAAAGAAAAUAAUAAAGAUUAGAGCAGAAAUAAAUGAAAUAGAGAAUAGAAAAACAAUUGAGAAAAUCACUAAAACCACAAAUUUGGUUUUUUUUUGCAAAGAUUAACAAAAUUGACAAACCCAAAACUAAACUGACCAAGAAAAAAUAAGAACACUCAAAUUAUUAAAUUAGGAAUGAAGGAAAUGAUAUUUUACCAGCCCUACGUUAAUAAAGAUUAUUAUGGGAAUAUUAUGAACAACUGUAGGCCACCAAAUUAAAUAACUUAGAUGACAUUGACAAAUUCCUAGAAAGAUACAAUUUACCAAAACUGACUCAAAAAGAAAUAGAAAACCUGAAUAGAUCUGUAACAAAGAGAUUGGAUUAUUAAUUUUUGAAACUUCCCACAAAGGAAACCCCAGACUCAGACAGCUUCACCGAUGAAUUCUAGUAAACAUCUAAAGAAAAAUUAAGGUCAAACUUUCACAAACUAUGAAAAAGAAGAGGGGAACAGUUCCCACCUCAUUCUGUGAGACCAGUUUACCCUAAUACCAGAAUCAGGCAAAGACAUCACAAGAAAACUGUAGACCAAUAUCCUUUAAAUAUAUAAAUGCAAAAAUCCUCAGUGAAAUACUAGCAAACUGAAUUUAGCAACAUACGAAAAGGAUGACCAAGUGGGAUUUAUCCAAGGAAUAUAAGGUUGUGAAAUCCAAAAGUCAAUCAAUAUAAUAUGUUAUAUUCAUUACACAAGUUUACCCAUAUAACAAAUCUGCACAUGUACCCUGAACCUAAAAUAAGAGUUUAAAAAAUAAAAUUAAAAGAAAAGAAUAUAUGCCAUAUUAAUAUAAUAACAGAAACCACAUGAUCAUCUCAAUAGAUGCAGAAACAGCAUUUGACAAAAUUCAACACACUUUCAUAUUAAAAACAGUCAACAAAAUUAGGAACAGACAGAAACUUCCUCAAUCCUGUACAAGGCAUCUAGGAAAAUUCCACAACAUAAUACUUAACGGUGAAAGAUUGAAUGUUUUCCUUAUAAGAUCAGGAAUUAGCCAAAGACACCUUAUCUUGCCACUUUAUUCAACAUUGUACUGGAAGUUCUAGUCAUGGCAUUUAGGCAAGAAAAAGAAAAGUCAUCCGGAUUGGAAAGGAAAAAUUAAAAUAUCUUUAGUUGCAGAAUUUUAAGCAAUCUAUGAAAACACUAUUAGAAGUAAUACAUGAGUUCAGCAAGUUUGCAGACCACAAAAUCAAUAGUUUAUAAAAAUCGCAUUUUUAUACAUUGGCAAUGAACAAUCUGAAAGGAAAUUAAGAAAACAAUCUCAUUUACAAAAGCAUUGAAAAGGAUUAAAUACCUAAGAAUAAAUUUAACCAAAGAGAUGCAAGACUUAUACAGUACACUGAAAACUACUUAACACUCAUGAAGGAAAUUAAAGAAGACCUAAAUAAAUGGAAAGACAUUACAUAUUCAUGUUGGGACACUUAAUGAUGUAAAGAUGGCAGGACUCCCCAGAGUGAUCUCCAGAUUCAAUGCAAUACCAAUCAAAAUCCCAACAGACUUUUUUUACGGAAAUGGAAAAGCCAGUCCUAAAACCCAUAUUGAAUUACAGGGAAACCUUAGUAGCCAAACAAUCUUGAAAAAGAACAAAAUUAUAGGACUCACACUUCCCAACUUCAAAGCUACGGUAUUCAAAACUGUGUGGUAAGGGAUAAGGAUAGAAAUAUAGAUCAAUGGAAUACUACAGAGUCUAGAAAUAAAUCCAUACAUCUAUGGUCAAUUAAUUUUUGACAUAUGUUCAAGAUCAUUCAAUAAGGGAAGAAUGAUCUUUUCAAUAAAUGGUAAUGGAACAACUAGAUACCCACAUGCUAAAGAAUUAAGUCAAAUCCCACUUCACACCAUUUACAAAAAUUUACUCCAAAUAGAUUAUAGACCUAAGUGUAAGAGCUAGAACUCAAGACAACAUAACAGUAAAACAUUGUGACUGUGGAUUAGACAAUGGUUUCUUAUAUAUGACAUCAAAAGCACAAAUGGUGAAAGAAGAAAAGAUAAAUUGGAUUUCAUCAAAAUUUAAAACUUGUGCUUCAAAGGACACCAUCAAGAAAGUGAAUAGAUAACUCAGAGAAUGGAUGAAAAUGUUAUCAAAGCAUAUAUCUAACAAAGAAUUUAUUAUCCAGAAUAUACAAAGAAUUACAACUCGACAAUAAAAUGACAACCUAUUUUAAAAAUGAGUAAAGGGUUUAAAGAGACAUUUCUCUAAAGAAUUUAAACAAAUAGCCAAUAAACACAUGGAAAAUGUUCAAUAACAUUAGUCAUUAAGGAAUUGCAAAUCAAAACUACUUCAUACCCAUUAAGGUGGCUAAAAUUUAAAAAGACAGACAAUAACUAGUUAUUAAGGAUGAGGAGAAAUUGGAACACUCAUUCAAGCAAAUAAAGUUAAUGAUUUAUGACAUGACACUGGUCACAUCUGGACUCCAGGUCCUAAAAAUGAGUUGAAGACCAUACAAUCACAAUACAGAAAAAGACUUGAGAAUCCAUCUAAUCCCAUUGAUCCUUAGAUUUGAUUCAGUCCACAAAAACUAUCAAUCCAUGGCAAAAACUGAAAAAUAAAGACAAUACUAUAAGUUUUUCCCAAUUAAAGAACUGUCCUUUAUUCUGAGAUUAUAUUAGAGGAGAGGGUGGUGUGAGAAAUUAAAGAUAAUAAAGAGUAGUUGUUCAGAAUUUUUUCCCCUAAUUGUCCAUUCUUAAAAUUGUUUUUGAAAAGUUAUUGGUCUGUGGAACCCAAAAGUCUUGGAACAUUUGUCCAUACCUCCCUCAUUGUUUGAAUAGGGUACAUAUAUUAAUGAUUCCUGAUAACUAGGAAAAGUUAUUUUUAUCAGGGGUAAGAGGAGGGGUAGAAAAUUUACUUUCUAGUAUAUCACUUUUGGGAUCUAUGGCUGUUAAAAAUUGUUUUCAUUGUUAUUUAUUCCAUUUUAUUUUAUUGAGGCUAUUUGGAAGUUACUAGAAAUUAUGGCAUAAUUCCAGCACUUUGGGAGGCCAAGGCAAGAGGAUUGCUUGAGCCCAAGAGUUUGAGACCAGCCUGGACAACAGAGUGAGACCCUGUCUCUACAAAAGAAUUUUGUAAAUUAGCCUGGCUUGGUGGCACAUGCCUGUAGUCCCACCUGCUUGGGAGGCUGAAGUGGGAAGAUUGCUUGAGCCUGGGAAGUCAAGGCUGCAGUGAGUUGUUGAGCCAUGAUUGCACCAUUGCCCUGCAGCCUAGGCAACAUUGUGAAACCUAUCAAAAGAAAGAAAAGAAAAAAGAAAAGGGAAAAAGAAAGAAAGAAAAGAAAGAAGGGAGGGAGGGAGGGAAGGAGAAAGAAAGAAAGAGGGAAAGAGAAAGAGACUGGGAAGGGAAGGGAAGGGAAGGGAGAGGAGGGGAGGGGAGGGGAAGGGAAGGGGGAAGAAGGGGGAGGGAAGGGAAGGGGGAAGGAGGGGGGAGGGAGGGAGGGAGGAAGGAAGGAAGACUGUGAAACCCUAUCUGAAAGAAAGAAAGGAAGGAAGGAGAAGGAAGGAAGGAAAGAGAGAGGAGGGAGGGAGGAAGAGAGGAAGGAGAUAAAUUAUGAAAAAGAAAAAAGAUCUCUCCUAAUUUCACCACCAAAAUUGAGUAAGAAUUAUCACUUAUAACAUUGCCUUUCAGUCUUUUUAUGUAUAUGUUUGUAAUUCCAUAAAAUUGGGAUGAUGAAUAUAAUUUUAUUUUCUGUUUUUAUCAUUAAAUAUAUUUUGUGUUUUUCAUAUUAUUCAGUAUUCCUUACAGAUAGUACCUAAAGUGCAAUUAUUGAUUUAAUGAUGUCCUACUGCUGGUCAUUGAAGCUUUCCUAAUUUUUUACUCUUCUAAAAUUAUAAACAACAUUUUCAAUCAUAAA